rnacentral:rRNA from 1 species
ACUCCAAAAGGGAAAUCGAACGNGGGGCACCNNCACCAAANCGNUGGAGCCAUCGUNGGUUUAAUUUCGAAAGCAANCCGCNAAGAACCCUNACCCNCGGGNUNGGAACUNCCAGUNGCAAGGGCUCANGAGAUGAGUCCCCUCCCUUUCGGGGAUCCAAUGGAGNGGUGCCGGNAUGGCUGUCGUCAGCUCNUGUCGUGNAGAUGANUGGGUUAAGUCCCGCAACGAGCGCAACCCUUGUCCAUAGUUACUAACGGGUCAUGNCCGAGAACUCUAUGGAGAGUNGCCGGUGAUAAACCGGAGGAAGGUGGGGAUGACGUCAAGUCCUCAUGGCCUUUAUGUNCCAGGGCUACACACGUGCUACAAUGGACGGCACAAAGAGUCGCAAAACCGCGAGGUUGAGCUAAUCUCAAAAAACCGUUCUCGGUUCGGAUUGCAGUCUGCAACUCGACUGCAUGAAGCUGGAAUCGCUAGUAAUCGCGGAUCAGCACGCCGCGGUGAAUACGUUCCCGGGCCUUGUACACACCGCCCGUCACAUCACGAAAGUCGGUUGCAGUAGAAGUCGGUGGGGAAACCCGGAAGGGGGGCAGCCGCCUAAGAGUGUGAUCGGUAACUUGGGGUGAAGUCGUAANCAAGGUACC